rnacentral:rRNA from 1 species
UACGGGAGGCAGCGGGGGGGAAUAUUGCACAAUGGGCGCAAGCCUGAUGCAGCCAUGCCGCGUGUAUGAAGAAGGCCUUCGGGUUGUAAAGUACUUUCAGUCGUGAGGAAGGUGUUAAGGUUAAUAACCUUAGCAAUUGACGUUAGCGACAGAAGAAGCACCGGCUAACUCCGUGCCAGCAGCCGCGGUAAUACGGAGGGUGCGAGCGUUAAUCGGAAUUACUGGGCGUAAAGGGCACGCAGGCGGUUAAUUAAGUUGGAUGUGAAAUCCCCGGGCUUAACCUGGGAAUGGCAUUCAAGACUGGUUAGCUAGAGUCUUGUAGAGGGGGUUAGAAUUCCAUGUGUAGCGGUGAAAUGCGUAGAGAUGUGGAGGAAUACCGGUGGCGAAGGCGGCCCCUGGACAAGACUGACGCUCAUGUGCGAAAGCGUGGGGAGCAAACAGGGAUUAGAUACC